AUUGAACGCUGGCGGCAGGCCUAACACAUGCAAGUCGAGCGGUUGCAGGGAGCUUGUUCCUGCUUUCCGGGGCGGAGGGGUGCGUGAUGCCUAGGUAUCUGCAUGUGCGCGGGGGAUAACGUUCGCUACUGGGCGCUGUUACUGCUACCGCAUAGCGGGACAAGGUGAGGGAUCUUGGGCUCACACGCUCUCACCUGCGCCUAGGUCGGAUUAGCUAGUUGGUGGGGUAAAGGCCUACCCAGGCGACGAUCCGUAGCUGGUCUGAGAGGAUGAUCAGUCACACUGGAACUGAGACACGGUCCAGACUCCUACGGGAGGCAGCAGUGGGGAAUAUUGGACAAUGGGCGAAAGCCUGAUCCAGCCAUGCCGCGUGUAUGAAGAAGGUCUUCGGAUUGUAAAGCACUUUAAGUGGGGAGGAAGGGCAGUAAGUUAAUACCUUGCUGUAUUGACGUUACCAACAGAAUAAGCACCGGCUAACUUCGUG
rnacentral:rRNA from 1 species